UAGUGGUGUGACAUGCCGUUUGGUGUUGAACUCUGAUUUUAUAAUUAUAAUUAAAUUGAUUUUAGGAAACGGGGUGUUACACUCACU
rfam:Medicago truncatula strain A17 unplaced genomic scaffold scaffold0039, whole genome shotgun sequence.